rnacentral:rRNA from 1 species
CUACGGGGUGCAGCAGUGGGGAAUAUUGCACAGUGGGCGCGAGCCUGAUGCAGCCAUGCCGCGUGUAUGAAGAAGGCCUUCGGGUUGUAAAGUACUUUCAGCGGGGAGGAAGGGAGUAAAGUUAAUACCUUUGCUCAUUGACGUUACCCGCAGAAGAAGCACCGGCUAACUCCGUGCCAGCAGCCGCGGUAAUACGGAGGGUGCAAGCGUUAAUCGGAAUUACUGGGCGUAAAGCGCACGCAGGCGGUUUGUUAAGUCAGAUGUGAAAUCCCCGGGCUCAACCUGGGAACUGCAUCUGAUACUGGCAAGCUUGAGUCUCGUAGGGGGGGGUAGAAUUCCAGGUGUAGCGGUGAAAUGCGUAGAGAUCUGGAGGAAUACCGGUGGCGAAGGCGGCCCCCUGGACGAAGACUGACGCUCAGGUGCGAAAGCGUGGGGAGCAAACAGGAUUAGAUACCCGCGUAGUC